AUGAAACCACCGUCUCACACUCCCCAUCUCUCUUGUCAAAUCAGCAGCGGCUUCAAUUCAACCUUCUAUUCUCUGUCCUCUUCAUGCUCCCCUCACAACAUCUCCAACCUCUCUUUUGUUUCAAGCCGUCUCGCCUUCAUCUCAUCUACGAUUCAACCUUCCGCCACUCAUCUUCAGAUCAAUCAGUCGGAGUUCGUCCGACGCGUCUUCGACGGUGGCGGCGGCAAAGACGAGAAAUCGAGAGAAAUAGACUCAGAUUUAUCGUAG